GAUGAACGCUGGCGGCGUGCCUAAUACAUGCAAGUCGAGCGAACAGACGAGGAGCUUGCUCCUCUGACGUUAGCGGCGGACGGGUGAGUAACACGUGGAUAACCUACCUAUAAGACUGGGAUAACUUCGGGAAACCGGAGCUAAUACCGGAUAAUAUAUUGAACCGCAUGGUUCAAUAGUGAAAUACGGUUUUUCUGUCACUUAUAGAUUGAUCCGCGCCGCAUUAGCUAGUUGGUAAGGUAACGGCUUACCAAGGCAACGAUGCGUAGCCGACCUGAGAGGGUGAUCGGCCACACUGGAACUGAGACACGGUCCAGACUCCUACGGGAGGCAGCAGUAGGGAAUCUUCCGCAAUGGGCGAAAGCUUGACGGAGCAACGCCGCGUGAGUGAUGAAGGUCUUCGGAUCGUAAAACUCUGUUAUUAGGGAAGAACAAAUGUGUAAGUAACUAUGCACGUCUUGACGGUACCUAAUCAGAAAGCCACGGCUAACUACGUG
rnacentral:rRNA from 1 species